UACAGAGGGUGCAAGCGUUAAUCGGAAUUACUGGGCGUAAAGCGUGCGUAGUCGGUUAUCUAAGUCGGGUGUGAAAUCCCCGGGCUCAACCUGGGAAUUGCAUUCGAUACUGGAUAGCUAGAGUUCGGCAGAGGGAAGCGGAAUUUCGGGUGUAGCGGUGAAAUGCGUAGAUAUCCGAAGGAACAUCAGUGGCGAAAGCGGCUUCCUGGACCAGAACUGACACAUGAGCACGAAAGCGUGGGGAGCAAACAGG
rnacentral:rRNA from 1 species